GUGGAGCUGUCUUUUCUGCACAGAGUGUGCACUAUCAUCGUAACAGCAGAGACGGAGAGCAAGAUCUGAUGGCACUAAGGCUGAACCCAGAAGCUGCAGCAGUGGACGGAUGAUGAUCUGAAGAAAUGAGAUCCCUGAUGGGCUUGGAAGUCAUGGUUCCUGUAAUCAUGAUGUCACACCCUCGUCCUGACACCGAGAUGGGCUGGACACAUCUGUCACCCAGGGCAAACAAAAUGCUUGGUCUGCAUCUUUCAGAAGAAAACUAAAAAUCAAGUAAUUUCUUAGAAUUUUGCUUGCGUGUGGCUUAAGUCUUCUUCUCCUGUUGAGGAAGGUGUUGAGUUUGACCAUGACAGCCCCACCCAGUCCUUGGCUCAUCUCACCCACCAGAGAGGAUCUGGAGAUUCAGAGCUAUGCCAUGGAAGACCUUGUCAGAGCACCAGGCCAUACUGUGCUGCAGGUGGGGUUCAGGUGCCCAGUGACAACCACCAGGGCCGCUUAUCCCUAAACGUCUGUUGAACUUAAAGUUCUACUCAAGACUUUCUACAUUAAAUACCCUUUCAUACAGCAAAAUCUGCCAUGUUCUGAGAUGCGAAACUGCAGCACAAAGUUACUGUGGUCUCCACCUAUAGAAAUGGAAUGUUACUUCAUAAAGCCCCAGGCCAAAAAAGAAACCCCAAAACUCUGAAACAACACCCUUAAAUUUAACCUGAACAUCUGGCCAGCCUCCUCCAUCAUUGAAACUUCUCCUGAGUGUUGGCAUGGAUCCUAUGUUUCUCCAGCCAGGGAGCUUUGCUCCCCAUUCUCGAUGGACCCACUGAGUCCCAAUUUUCUACAUUUUACUUGGGUCAUUCCACCACUUUGGAAUGCUUUUCCUACUCUGUCGUACUUUAAAA
rnacentral:lncRNA from 1 species